rnacentral:rRNA from 1 species
GGCGAGACUGCCCAGAUCAACUGGGAGGAAGGUGGGGACGACGUCAGGUCAGUAUGGCCCUUAUGCCCAGGGCUGCACACGUACUACAAUGCCCAGUACAGAGGGGGCCGAAGCCGCGAGGCGGAGGAAAUCCUGAAAACUGGGCCCAGUUCGGACUGUAGGCUGCAACCCGCCUACACGAAGCCGGAAUCGCUAGUAAUGGCGCAUCAGCUACGGCGCCGUGAAUACGUUCCCGGGUCUUGUACACACCGCCCGUCACAUCAUGGAAGCCGGUCGCACCCGAAGUAUCUGAAGCCAACCGCAAGGAGGCAGGGUCCUAAGGUGAGACUGGUAACUGGGAUGAAGUCGUAACAAGGUAGCCGUAGGGGAACCUGCGGCUGGAUCACCUCCUUUCUAUGGAGCAAGU